UGGAAAACUAUACUAACCUAUCGUUGAUAAAAAAAAACGUGAUUACGACUAGAAAUUAAUUUGAAAAAAAAAAAACAGCUAUUUAUUUGUUAUAUAAUUAUCAAAACGCACGAGUAAAUGAAUAACAGUAAUUACAAUGAAAUAUCCGUUUACCUCCAAACAAUUUGCGUAAUAUUACGUCUGUGAAUGCCCACACGGAUUUUGUAAAUAUUCGAUAUUUGUGCCAAUUUUUCGAGACAUUAGUUGGCAAUAAUUUGCCGACUCCGUUCGUUCUUAAAGGUAAUACCCAUAUCCUGUUCUCGCGGUAUUUCCAUGUCCAGUUAAGAGUCGUAUCGCCUAUAUCGGAACGUGUGGGUCGUUCGCCUAUAAUACCAUUUUAGUCCAGUUAUACUAAUUUGAUGACCUCGAUUUUUGCGGAUUGG